AUUGAACGCUGGCGGCAUGCUUUACACAUGCAAGUCGAACGGUAACAGGGAGCUUGCUCCGCUGACGAGUGGCGAACGGGUGAGUAAUGCGUCGGAACGUGCCGAGUAGUGGGGGAUAACGCAUCGAAAGGUGUGCUAAUACCGCAUACGAACUGAGGUUGAAAGUGGGGGACCUUCGGGCCUCACGCUAUUCGAGCGGCCGACGUCUGAUUAGCUAGUUGGUGAGGUACAUGCUCACCAAGGCGACGAUCAGUAGCGGGGUGGAGAGGAUGAUCCGCCAUACUGGGACUGAGACACGGCCCAGACUCCGACGGGAGGCAGCAGUGGGGAAUUUUGGACAAUGGGCGCAAGCCUGAUCCAGCCAUGCCGCGUGUCUGAAGAAGGCCUUCGGGUUGUAAAGGACUUUUGUCCGGGAGCAAAUGCUGGUGGCUAACAUCCACCGGAGCUGAGAGUACCGGAAGAAUAAGCACCGGCUAACUACGUGCCAGCCGCCGCCGUAACAC
rnacentral:rRNA from 1 species